GGAGCAAGGAGGAAUAAACCAGGUGACCUUUGUGCUGGGAACAGAGAAGAGCACACUUGGGGACAAGUUUCCCUGUUCAUGGGAGCAGAGGGUACUGGAGGCCUGAACUUUGCAGGUGGGGGUUGUCUGCAUCCCGGCUGUUGCAGCAGGAGUGGCAGGUGAAAGAGACAUUAAGAUGAACUAGAAGCCCUUCUCCACACACAAGGAAAGCAGAGCUGGAAGACUAAAUGGGAAGCUGAAGGAGUAAAGGCUGAGCCGCCUUACUCAGCACUGGACCCUGAGUACAACAACACUGACCUACCAGGCAAGGCAAUGCAAUAGCGGCAUGAAGAUUACUGGAGUAACUGCUUUCUUAUUAAAUCUGAUCUGAGGCCAGGAUACAAGAGGAAAUUGAUGUCUAACUGUAAGUUAUGUGACUGUAAACAUGGUCAAAGCUCAUGGUUUUUUGGAAGGCCAUAAGUCCUAGGAGGAAACAUAUAUCAUAUUGUUAAAUGAACAUGUCAAAUUGUCUUCUAAUUACACUUACAUUCAUUAGUGCUACAUUCAAUCUUGUCCAGCGAUGCUAUCUUCUGCAGUGAGCAGCAGUUAAUACAGAAACUGAGAGCUGGCUAAAGUGCAGAGAAUAAGUGACUUAUUGCUAACCAGGACACCUCAAGGUUCAAGGAACAUAGUGGGGAAAAGGCCCAGGAUGAGGACGAGCUCUGUGAAAUACAUCUUCUGGACAUGACAUAGUCAGUCACUGUACCCGCUGACUCAGCACACCCACAAUCACCUGAGCAAGAUCAAGCCAAGAAGAUCAAUUUCCCAGCAGGCAGCACUGAUUGGACUCAAUGAGUCACAAAAACAAAAAGAAAGAAAAGACAAAAGAAAGGAAAGUCUGUGAAGGGAGAAGGUGGGUAUUGGAGAGUAGGUUGGAGAAGUUGGGGGUAGGUUGGAAAUCAACAUACAUUGUAUACAUGUGUAAGUUUGUCAAGGUACAAAUAUAAGAUAUUCUAAAAACUA